rnacentral:lncRNA from 1 species
GCUUCCACUAAGUGUUCUUCUCCUGACUCGGAUUAGCUGUGUGUUUCCUGACCUUUGCUGAACACAUCUCUAAUCCAGCCAUUUAAACCCUGUCAUCACCUGUCUAAUUGGCCUCUCCACACCGUUUCCACUUGGCACAAAAUGGAGGUUGAGUCUAAUGUUUGUUAAUGUAACUGUUCAGUGUGCCACCAGUGUCGAGCUGAGUUAUCUGAGUCAUCCCCACAUCGAAAAUCCUUGCUAAUAUGCAGAAUGAAGAUUUCUAGAUUUCCAUCCUCAUUGUUUUAUCACAACAUCUUUGUUUCCCCUUUUCCUCUCCACUUUAGUCAGGUGGCCUAGCGGUGCAGAGUGUUGGGCCAGUAACCAAAAGGUCGCUGGUUUGAAUCCCCCACCCGACUAGGUGAAAAUCUGUCAUUGUUCCCUUGAGCAAGGCACUUAACCCUAAUUGCUUCUGUAAAUCGUCCUACAUAAGAGCGUCUGCUAAAUGACUACAAUGAACACGGAACAAAAAUAUAAACGCAACAUGUGAAGUGUUGGUCCUAUGUUUCUGAGCUGAAAUAAAAGAUCCCAGACAUUUACCAUGUGCACAUAAAGCUCACACAUCCCUGUUAGGGAGCAUUUCUCCUUUACCAAGAAAAUCCAUCCACCUUACAGGUGUGGCAUAUCACAUCCCUGUUAGGGAGCAUUUGUCCUUUACCAAGAAAAUCCAUCCACCUUACAGGUGUGGCAUAUCACAUCCCUGUUAGGGAGCAUUUCUCCUUUACCAAGAUAGUCCAUCCACCUGACAGGUGUGGCAUAUCAAGAAGCUGAUUAAACAGUAUGAUCAUUACUCAGGUGUAAUUUGUGCUCGGGACAAUAAAAGGCCACUAAAAUGUGUCGUUUUGUCACACAACACAUUGCCAUAGACGUCUCAAGUUUUGUGGGAGUGUGCAAUUGGCAUGCUGACUGCAGGAAUGUCCACCAGAGCUGUUUUCAGAAAAUGUCAUGUUAGUUUGUCCACCAUAAGCCACCUCCAAAGUUGUUUUAGAGAAUUUGUCAGUACCUCACAACCGCAGACCAUGUGUAACCACACCUGCUCAGGACUUCCACGUCUGGCUUCUUUACCUGCUGGAUCGUUUGAGACCAGCCUACCUGGACAGCUGAUGAAACUGAGGAGUGUUUGUUUGUAAUUAAGAUCAUUUAAGGGGGAAAACUCAUUCUGAUUGACUGGGUCUGGCUCUACAGUGGGUGGACCUGGCUCCCAAGGGGUGGGCCUUUGCCCACCCAUGGCUGUGCCCCUGCCCAGUCAUGUGAAAUCCAUAGAUUAGGGCCUAAUUUAUAUAUUUAAAUUGACU